AUUGCUUCUCAGCCUCUGGGCUAAGGUCAAGUGUGGUAUCUGUUUUGUCAGUUUAAUUUCUGAUAUGUUCUCCAGUAAACUGUCUGGGGGGCAAAUGGCACCAGCAGGAAGUAUUAAGAGGGAAAAGUUACAGUAAAGAUGUUGGAGGGAGAAUAGUUUCAAAAUGCAAUAUAUGUAUAAAAGAAAACCUUUU